rnacentral:rRNA from 1 species
GCCAGCAGCCGCGGUAAUACGGAGGGUGCAAGCGUUACUCGGAAUCACUGGGCGUAAAGGGUGCGUAGGCUGGCUUCUAAGUCAGAUGUGAAAUCCAAUGGCUUAACCAUUGAACUGCAUUUGAAACUGGGAGCCUAGAGUUCAGAAGGGGCAGAUGGAAUUAGUGGUGUAGGGGUAAAAUCCGUAGAUAUCACUAGGAAUAUCAAAAGCGAAGGCGAUCUGCUGGGAUGAUACUGACGCUGAGGCACGAAAGCGUGGGGAGCAAACAGGAUUAGAUACCCUGGUAGUCCACGCCCUAAACGAUGAAUGCUAGUCGUCGGGGAGCUCGUCUCUUCGGUGAUGCACUUAACAGAUUAAGCAUUCCGCCUGGGGAGUACGGUCGCAAGAUUAAAACUCAAAGGAAUAGACGGGGACCCGCACAAGUGGUGGAGCAUGUGGUUUAAUUCGAAGAUACACGAAGAACCUUACCUGGCCUUGACAUGGUAGGAACCCUUAAGAGAUUAGGGGGUGCUAGCUUGCUAGAACCUACACACAGGUGCUGCACGGCUGUCGUCAGCUCGUGUCGUGAGAUGUUGGGUUAAGUCCCGCAACGAGCGCAACCCUCGUCAUUAGUUGCUAACAGGUUAAGCUGAGCACUCUAAUGAGACUGCCUCCGUAAGGAGGAGGAAGGUGAGGACGACGUCAAGUCAUCAUGGCCCUUACGGCCAGGGCUACACACGUGCUACAAUGGGGCGUACAGAGGGCUGCAAUACCGCGAGGUGGAGCCAAUCCCUUAAAGCGUCUCUCAGUUCGGAUUGUUCUCUGCAACUCGAGAACAUGAAGCUGGAAUCACUAGUAAUCGUAGAUCAGCUAUGCUACGGUGAAUACGUUCCCGGGUCUUGUACUCACCGCCCGUCACACCAUGGGAGUUGAUUUCACCCGAAAUCGGGAUGCCAAACUGGCUACCGCUUACGGUGGAAUUAGCGACUGGGGUGAAGUCGUAACAAGGUAACC